UACGGGGGGGGCAAGCGUUGUUCGGAAUUACUGGCCGUAAAGGGCUCGUAGGCGGCCAACUAAGUCGGACGUGAAAUCCCUCGGCUUAACCGGGGAACUGCGUCCGAUACUGGAUGGCUAGAGGUUGGGAGAGGGAUGCGGAAUUCCAGGUGUAGCGGUGAAAUGCGUAGAUAUCUGGAGGAACACCGGUGGCGAAGGCGGCAUCCUGGACCAAUUCUGACGCUGAGUGAGCGAAAGCCAGGGGAGCAAACGGG
rnacentral:rRNA from 1 species